rnacentral:rRNA from 1 species
AUUACCGCGGCUGCUGGCACGUAGUUGGCCGGUGCUUCUUCUGCACAUACCGUCACUUGCGCUUCGUCUGUGCUGAAAGGGGUUUACAACCCGAAGGCCGUCAUCCCCCACGCGGCGUCGCUGCAUCAGGCUUGCGCCCAUUGUGCAAUAUUCCCCACUGCUGCCUCCCGUAGG